rnacentral:tRNA from 1 species
GCGGGUGUAGUUCAGUGGUAGAAUGCCAGCUUCCCAAGCUCGAGAUACGGGUUCGAUUCCCGUCACCCGCU